rnacentral:misc_RNA from 1 species
UAAACCCCCAAAACUGAAACUUCUCGGUCCAUUUCCUUUUUGACUGAAUUUUUCGUCUGGAAUUUUAUUAAACUUUUUUGAUAUUUUGUUUUUUCUUUACUGAAUUGUUAACUUGUUUAAAUUUAAAUUUUGUUGAACGAUUUUGUUAAAGUUUGAACGCCUGUUCUUAAAUAGCUGUUAAUUGAUUUUUAAUUUUUCAUUUAACUAUUUUUUAAUUCACAACUUAUAGUAUUUUAAUACUUAAAAAGUUCGAAUGUUAAGCAAAUUUAUCGCCUUUUUCGAUACCAAAAAUCUGCAAUUAAAUUUUUGAUUAUUCUGCAGAAUGCAAAAACUUUUCCAGGUCCGUUUAUUUCCUCGAUUUAAAAAAAUAUACUUUUUUUUUAAACUAUUAAAUAGUAAACGCUUGUAAAGGCAUACAACUAUUAUGCGUAUGAUUGGCCAAUUAAAGAUGAUGAACAAUAAUGUAUUCUACUUUAUAGUUGGCCGCAAAAGUAUACAUUGGAAUAAAGUUCAUCACGUGUUUGCAAUAUUGACAUUAAUUUAAUCAUAAUUUACUUUGAAUAUAUCUUAUAUUUUUGCAAAGCAUCUUAAAAAAUCAACAGAUGGAUAAAUUAUCGUUUUAUCUUCAUUAGUAUAAGUUUAUGAUUCGUCUUUUAUGAUUAGGAUUUCCAUUUUCACGAAGUAUUAUAAGUAUAGUUAUGUAAUUCAUUACAAAGAUUCCAACGUAAAAGAACGAUGUUUGCAGAUCAGAUUAAAAAUCGAGGUGUGAAUUGUGACACGUCAGUUGUAUAUUUAGUUAUGAUAAUAAUAUAAACGUGAACAUUUUGUAUUAUAAUGCAUCGCCGAAAGUGCAGUUAACUUCGUUCCAAAUUAUUUUAUAAAUCAAAAGUUAUCAUUUUAGAACUGCGUAAAAUCAUUUUAGCUUUAAAAAUUUAGCUAAUAAAUAAAUUAUCAUGAAAUCCGCCACUAUAGCUAUACAGAUAUAUCUUCAAUUCCAAUUGUUCCAUUUAAUAUCAAUGAAAGCACUGCCAUCAGCUUCUCAAUUUUCUUCGGAUAAUUCAUCAGUCCAGACUCUACGACAAGUUAAUGUGGUAAUUCGUCACGGACAAAGAAGUCCUCAAACUACUUAUCCCAAUGAUCCCUAUAAAAAUGAUCCCAUGGAACCGUAUGGUUGGGGUCAAUUAACAAAAGAAGGAAGACUUAGUCAAUAUCAGCAAGGGUUAUUUUUACGAAGCAGAUAUGGAACAUUUUUGGGUAGUAAAUAUAGUCCAGAAAUAUUUUGGUUACAAAGUACGGACGUGGAUCGUGCAAAAAGUUCUGCUUUAUUAGAAGCUGCCGCUUUGUGGAUGCCUGAUGGAAAUCAAUCUUUUUCAAGGGAACUUGCAUGGCAACCGAUAUCUUUAAAUUAUCAAACAAGUCAAAACGAUACCCUUCUUUUGAUUCGAUCAUCUUGUCCAGAUUACUCAAGGAUGCGAGAUGCUAUAUUAAAGUCAGAUAAUAUCAGUAAAAUUAAUGAUAUAAAUUUUAAUUUGUACCAAAAGCUUACGAAAAAUUCUGGUCAAGAGAUAACUAACCCAGACGAUGUAUUUGACUUAUAUUCCACACUUAUAGCAGAGCAAACAAUGAAUUUACUUCUUCCAAAUUGGACAGCAGAUCUUUUUACAGAAAUGGAGCAUUUAAGUAGUUUAAGCCUUAAAAUUAACGUUUACAAUGAAACUUUAUUGAAAAUGAAAGCAGGACCUCUCAUCACCGAAAUUACUAAUAAUAUGCUCAAAAAAAGUAAAAGUAUUUUGGUACCAGAACGUCGAAAAAUGUUCAUGUAUGUAGGUCAUGAUUCAACCAUCGCCAGCUUACUUGAAGGUUUGAAAGUAUGGAAUAUGCAAGUGCCGGGUUAUAAUGACAUGGUCAUUACAGAGCUUCAUGAAGAUAAAAGUGGAUUUUAUGUAAAGGUAUAUCUGAGAAAUUGCACCCAAAGUGAUCCGUACUCAUUAAAAAUUCCUGGCUGUAAUAUUGAGUGUCCAAUAAACCAAUUUAUUGAUAUAAUAAACCAAUUGAAAAUACAAAGGAUCUUGGUUGAAUUCUACUUAGUUUGGUGUCCAACGCCGUAAUUUCGAGAAGCAGUCCCCUCAAACUUUACGACAGCAUCGAUUAGUAGAUCUCCUUUAACGAUGUCCUUAUUUUAUGUGAAGUUGCAAAGACGCAGACCUAUAUCUGUCAGAUAUUAAAAUCGGAGAGUUAUAGCAAGAUAUUGAAGGCAUGUCAGGUUUACGUGUCACGCUCUGUAAUUGAUUAGUGGACGCACUAACUCAUACCGAAAAUCAUUCCUUGGGUUGAGAGGAAAUUAGGAGAAGUGGACUGACACCUUACAGAGUUCCUGAUCGGUCACGGUUGCUGUAGUCGAAUCAAUGACAUCAACGGCUCAUGCCUGGCCUACUCUCGUGCAGAGGAAGACUUUAAACGUCACGGACUUCGAUUCAAGUAAGGAAGAGUAAAGCUCCAUC